CGGAACGGGUGAGUAAUGCGUGACCAACCUGCCCCAUGCUCCAGAAUAGCUCUUGGAAACGGGUGGUAAUGCUGGAUGCUCCAACUUGACGCAUGUCUUGUUGGGAAAGUGUUUAGUGGCAUGGGAUGGGGUCGCGUCCUAUCAGCUUGUAGGCGGGGUAAUGGCCCACCUAGGCUUCGACGGGUAGCCGGCCUGAGAGGGCGGACGGCCAUAUUGGGACUGAGAUACGGCCCAGACUCCUACGGGAGGCAGCAGAC
rnacentral:rRNA from 1 species